GACAGAGGAGCCAAGCGUUGUCCGGAUUGACUGGGCGUAAAGCGCACGCAGGCGGAUGCGCGCGUGGGGUGUGAAAUCUGGCCGCUUAACGGCCAGGCGCCAUCCCAUACGGCGCGUCUGGAGUGAUGCAGAGGUCGAUGGAAUUGCCGGUGUAGUGGUGAAAUGCGUAGAGAUCGGCAGGAACACCCAGGGGGAAACCAGUCGACUGGGCAUCUACUGACGCUGAGGUGCGAGAGCGUGGGGAGCGGAACCGG
rnacentral:rRNA from 1 species